rnacentral:misc_RNA from 1 species
GAAGCCGCAUGGGCCGCAUGUCUUGAGGUGGCGCGGGAUUUCGUGUUUUGACUGCACGCAAACAUGAUUUCUACCGAAGACAUUCUCUCUCUCAGUUCGUGCAAAUCACUAAGCGAUGUGAAAGAAUUAGACCUGAGCAAUAGGGACCUUAAAGUGUUGGACCCAUGCUGCUUUAAGGGACUGAAAAACUUGGAGAGCCUCGAUGUGUCAAGAAAUUCGCUCAGAGAUAUCCCCAACCUUGGCCUUCCCAAACUUCGGUGCUUGAAUGUGGAGGAGAAUUUGAUCAAUGACUUGGCCUUUCUAAAGGACUACAGUGAAUUAACUGAGCUGUUGGUUGCUGGUAAUCCCAUCCUUUCAGCCGACAAGAACAUUGCCGUAUCACUCCUUCCCAAGUUGGUUCUGUUGGACGGAGCCGACUGUCAGCCUCUGAGGAAACUUGAAGCCCUCGGCGACAAGAAACUGUUGCCUCAGAUUUCUCGAAUCUGGGAAUCCACAUUCAAGGACAAUCUUGUUCCUGGAGCCAGUGAUGAAGAAGUCGGAACCGUGAAGAAAGAUUUUUUGAGGCACCUGAGAAGAACGCAUUUUGAAUGCAAUGAAUUUUCAGUUAAGUUCAAGAAAUUUAAGGUGGAAACUCUUGGGGGAGAGCUGUUUGAAGAGGAAGUGCAACGAAUUCGUGCCAAAGCCUCAAGCACCCCAAAGAAGAAGCCAGACAGGCUCAAGUCCUCAGAGAAGCCUGGUUCUCCUUUUAGGAGAGUCGUGUCUACCAUAAAGGUUGAACACGAUUGUGAGCCUGUCAGAAGCAAAUCUAUCGUAGAUGGCUCUGACAUAAUCGUGAGCUCUCCCCGACGCGGGACACGAGGUUUGAAUAAAUCGGCCGAAGUUGAUGGAUUGAAUGGCUCCCCUCGAAAGCGAGUUGCAUCUCCAAGGAAAAUCCUGCUCCUUGAGGAUCGUAAACCUGUGCCAAGCAUAUCCAGCUUAGAUGCAGACAGCAGAAAUGCAAGCUUGCCUCAAGCUGGUACAGGUGAAUUGAAUGGGUCAGCAAAAAAUGGCUCGUUUGAUAAGGUGCAACGGCCAUGUACGCCAAGGAAAAAGCUGAAAUAUGAAGUUGCUCCUUCAAAGGAGGAAAAGGGAAGUGUGAAAGGGGCUGAAGCGCACAUAUUUCUUCGUGGCCAUUCUCAAGACCCUGGCGACUCCGUAACUCAAGUGUGGCAGGCCGCCUUUCAACCAGAGAGUGGAGAAAAUGAUCUCUCACCCAACAUUGUUGCUACUUGCGGUGGUAGGGUUGUGAACUUUAUCGACUGCAGCACAGGAACUAUUGUGAAACGCUACAAGAGUGCCAACCUCAAGGAGGAGUUUUUCUGCCUGGCAUGGACAGUGCUGCCCAUUGGCGGGCACCCCAGUGCCGUGCUCGCCGUGGCGGGCAAGGCACACGAUGUGAACCUCAUCCACCCUGAGCAGCUUGUCUGCUACAAGUUGUUCGAGGCGCACAGCAAGUACAUCAACUGCCUGCUCUUCUGCCCCAACCAGCCUACGUGGCUGCUCAGUGGAAGCAUUGAUGACAACAUUCACCUAUGGGACAUUGGCUUGCCCAAAGCACCUGGCUACCAAACAAAAGUUGUGAACCUGCUCACCCUGAAACCAAAGUGCGAAAUUCUCCAACUGUGUGUCAGCACUCAGAAUGAGCUGCUCCUGGCUGCCUGCCAUGGUGGCCUGUUUGGCUGGAAGUUUGACCAAAAGUCGCUUGUGAAAGUUGACAGGUCACCAAACAUAGAGUUCUGCUUGCCAACAAAAGAUGGAGCCUCCAUCGAAGAGGAGCCUGUUGUUGAUGGCUUGGUGCUGAUCGAAGAUGACAUGAUCGUCAGCAAGUGUUCCAACAGUGGCAUGAUUGGCAUGUGGAAGCUGUCCAAUCAUGUGGCUUCCAUCAGAAAGUUCUCCCAGAAACUGCAGAAAGUCAAAGUGGAGUACAGGAGCACAUUUCUCUGGAGUGACACCAAGGUUGACUACUUUUACCCAUCAGCCACGGCUGGUUAAUACAAAUUCAGUAAGGCUAAGUUCUGAUGGCGACUACAUGGUAGCGUGCACAGAUAUCAACAUUGUGUGCAUAUGGAGGAUCACACGAUAGACCACCACUAUUUUAGCAGGAGACUG